UACGGGGGAUGCAAGCGUUAUCCGGAUUUAUUGGGUUUAAAGGGUGCGUAGGCUGUGAGGUAAGUCAGCGGUGAAAUGCCCCCGCUCAACGGGGUGAAGUGCCAUUGAUACUGCCUUGCUGGAAUGCGGAUGCCGUGGGAGGAAUGUGUGGUGUAGCGGUGAAAUGCAUAGAUAUCACACAGAACACCGAUUGCGAAGGCAUCUCACGAAUCUGCGAUUGACGCUGAUGCACGAAAGCGUGGGUAUCAAACAGG
rnacentral:rRNA from 1 species